GAUGAAGAACGCAGCGAAAUGCGAUACGUAAUGUGAAUUGCAGAAUUCAGUGAAUCAUCGAGUCUUUGAACGCACAUUGCGCCCCCUGGUAUUCCGGGGGGCAUGCCUGUCCGAGCGUCAUUGCUGCCCUCAAGCCCGGCUUGUGUGUUGGGUCUCGUCCCCCUUCCCGGGGGGAUGGGCCCGAAAGGCAGCGGCGGCACCGCGUCCGGUCCUCGAGCGUAUGGGGCUUUGUCACCCGCUCUGUAGGCCCGGCCGGCGCUUGCCGAUCAACCAAAACUUUUUUCCAGGUUGACCUCGGAUCAGGUAGGGAUACCCGCUGAACUUAAGCAUAUCAAUAAGCGGAGGA
rnacentral:misc_RNA from 1 species